rnacentral:lncRNA from 1 species
AUUCAAUCUCCUUGUGCCUUGAUUUCCUUAUCAAUAAGUGAUUUGUUUUUAAAGAAGGAUUCACAAGCAAACAUAUCUGGUUUUUUUGUUUGUUUGUUUUUGAGACAGAGUCUCGCUCUGUUGUCCAGGCUGGAGUGCAGUGAUGCGAUCUUGACUCACUGCAACCUCCGCCUCCCAGGAGUUCAAGCGAUCCUCCUGCCUCAGUCUUCCGAGUAGCUGGGACUACAGGCAUGUGCCACCACACCCAGCUACUAUUUUUGUAUUUUUUUGUAGAGAUGGUUUCGCCAUGUUGGCCAGGCUGGUCUUGAACCCUUGACCUCAGGUGAUCCACCAGCCUCGGCCUCACAAAGUGCUGGGAUUACAGGUAUGAGCCACCACGCCCAGCCUGCAAACAUAUGUUGAACUCUUUGCACAGUGCCCUGCAUGAGAUAGAUGACAGCUCCUUCUUCCAUGUUGUUAAUUUGGUGUGAGUAUAUGUUAUAUGUAUGUAUAUGCAAGAUAAUAAUCUUCUUGUAACCACUGACAGGCCUUUUUGUGAAUGAUGAUGGAAAAAGCAAGAACCUUGUCCAGGUUCCUCUCCAGGGAGCAGGGGUGGGUUGUGAUUCUUGAUUUCAUUCCUUUAGAUAUGAAGAGUUUUCACACAGAGGCAGCACGAAUUUGUCUCUCUCCUAGAGGGUGGGGAGAGUUGCUGGGUGGAUAUAACUGCAUCACAGCCUUUCUGGGUAAACUGGCCACUCCCUACUGAUUUGUUAUCAUGCUAAAUGUGUCUCCUCCCUUCCUUUCUGGAGCUUUUGCAGCUGUUCCUGGAAGGAGACCCAGUUGAAAGGGGUUGUUAUGGACCAGGAACAGCUGGGAUCUUUAAUGAUCUGUGAGCAGCUUACAGCAAAGUUCCAACACCCUGAGUAUCAGUCCCCAAAUCCUUGGUCUUUGCAUUCCAACACAAAGUAAAAAGGAUUGAGCAGGGUUUUGGUUUUGGUUGCAAGUAACAGAAACCCAACGCUAAUUAAUAAACGGGAAAGUGUGUCAGUGGAAAUCUCCACAAGUCCGACGGAAAGAGAAAACUGCUUUCCCAAAGGGUGUAAGAGGAUGAAAGGCAUGUCAUCAGCUGAAUUGCAUCAGGUGUCCAUCUUGGAAUCAAUCACGGUGCCUCUUAUUAGCAAAGCCUGAGUCAUAGGUGAGUCUAUACUUGGAUGGGGUAGUAAGGAAAUCCCAUGUUGAUUGCAUGGAUGGAAAGUGGGGGUGUUGUGGUUUCAUAAUGGCUUAUUAGGGUUCAAUAAUCAGAACACCAAAUAAUCCAUGCUGGGAGGUAAAAAUUGCAGAUAUUUUACUUUAUGCCCCAAACUAGACUUCAAAUCUGUGCUGCUCUUCCAAUCAUGAAUCCGCAGAACAGAGGAUAGAAAGUUCAGGUCAAUUCAAAUUUGACAAACACUUUCCGAGCACUUACUAUGUGCCAAUAUCCGUGGGAGGCCCUGGGAAACCAAAGAUGAAUGAAACACAAACUCUGAUGUCAGAGACCUCACAGUCUGGUGUUUAAGACGAUAAUAGUCUGGAUUAGAUUCUGGUGUGAUGAGAUGGAUUGUCUCAUAAAAAACAGAGGGAAGGGAUUAUUUAACUCUGAUGGGUGGCUGGGUGCUGAGAAGACCCUCAGAGGGUGUAACCUUUGAGUCUUAAGGAGGAUUAAGUUUAAAGGGGAUUUUGUUGGAGGAUAAGCAUCAAGGAAAGCAUUCCAGGAAGAGAGACGGGCAUAUGCAAAGGUAUAGUGUUGUGACCUCUGAUUAAAUAUGGAUGAGACAGGACAGGGAAAAACACACUUGUUAGAUUGUGGCAAAUGCCCAUGUGAAGUGAUUAAGUGACUGAAAUUGGGCAGAGGUGGUGUGCUGGUAGAUUCUAAGGUGACCCCAGUGAUCCAUGCCUUGUAAAAUCUUCUCCCCUGUGAGUGCUCCUUGGUGAGCAGGUGAUGUUAUAUUGGGAGAUUGACUAUAAGAAGGGGAGACUAUCUGUGUGGUCCUGGCCUAAUGACAUGAAUCCUUUAAGAGCAGAGCUUUCUCCAGCUGGUAGAAAAAGGGGAAGUAUGAGACUUAAAGGUGGAGGUGGCCCCAUGGAAAAGACCUAAGGGUAGCCUGCGGGAACUGAGAGAAAACCCCAACUGGCAGCCAGCAAGAAAACAGGGACCUUAAUCUUACGACCACAAGGAACUGGACUCUGCUACCAGAAUGAGCUGCAAGGGAGAUUCUUCCUCAGAAGCUUCAGAUAAGAACUCCACCUGGCUGACCUUUGAUUUUGGUUUUGUGAGAACUUUGGCAGAUAACCCAGGCAUGUGUCAUUUCACAUCUGCAUAAAAAGACAUGCUGAAGGAUGUUCCUUGCAGAAUGGUUAUAGAGAAAAAUGGGAAUAACCACGAUAUAAAGUAACAGGAUUUCAACAGUGAAGGAGACCUGAGAAACCAUAAAAUCAAUCUCUCAAAUUGAAGUUGAAAAAAGCAAAUCAUCUCUCACACCCACCCUGAUUGAUCCAGAGCCAAUGGGUUCAUUUAAAACUCUCUUUCAUGAUGGCAAUGAAUAAAAGAGGAUCCUAGACCAUCAGAAGAUUUUAGCCUUGGAGCUCCCCACCGUCCUAACACACACAGAUAGAGCUGGCUCCGAACUCUGCUGCUUCCAUGGGAGCUUAUAGAACCUUGGGAACCAGGAACCCUUUAGGACCCUGUGAACUACAAGUCUGCUAUUUUAGGAAGUGGAUAAAAUGGCAUUUUGACAGAUCUGGAGGGUCUUGGAUCUACCUUUCAACAUUGGCAUUACUGAUAUUAGAGUACCACCACUCACUAGCUGUGGAGAUGUAGGAAGAUUACUUAACCACUCAGAGCCUUGGUUUCCUCAUUUGUUAUGUGAAGAUGACAAUAUCAGAUGACAGUGAGAUCUGAGAUGAAUUUAACUGCCUUCAGUAGUGCUGGCCUGCUCCUGAGAGAGAGAUGAUUGAGAGGGAGGAAGUAGAGAGGAGGAAGAAGCCUUUACUCACACUCCUUGAGGAGUGAUUCAGGUGGACAGCCUGAAUUACGGGAUUUAUUGGCAGCAAGAGUUUCUUUGCACAAGCUCUCUUUCUACCGCUGCCUCCAUGUAAGAUGUGACUUGCUCCUCCUUGCCUUCCACCAUGAUUGUGAGGCCUCCCCAUCCACGUGGAACUGCGAGGCCAAUUGAACUCCUUUCUUUUGUAAAUUGUCCAGUCUCAGGUAUGUCUUUAUCAGCAGUGUGAAAAUGGGCUAAUACAGUGCAUUUAUUUUUUUGAAGCAUGUCCAUACUUUCCAUUGGAUUCUCAAAGGGAUUCAGGACCUGGAAACUUUUUGAAAUACUGCUCCAUAGUAAAUGGCACAAAUCUCUCUGAAUCAAGGAUGUCUCUAGCCUUAGGCAAAGCUAGGUUGAAGGACAGAACAGAGAGUCAGCCUCUGGAGUGCCCUCUAUAAGGAAAAAGAAAACAUUACUAGAGUAAGUUGAUAAAGUAUAAAUUCAUCUCACUCCUACUGGACACUGCCCUUGAGUGAAAUUAAAAACUGAAAAAUUUUUGACAUAUCUUUUGAGCAUUUUUGUAAAAUACGCAUGUAGCUAUGGCCAAAAUUCUGGAAUAAAAUGGUACAUAUAGCCUUAGGUAUCCUGGCUCUGUUUCUUAAAGGAGUCAUAUUUACAGAAUUGCAGUUGUCCAGGUGCAGUGGCUCACGCCUGUAAUCCAAACAAUUUGGGAGGCCCAAGCAGGUGGAUCACUUGAAGUCAGGAGUUUGAGACCAGCCUGGUCAACAUGGUGAAACCCCAUCUCUAGUAAAAAUACAAAAAAAAAAUUAGCCGGGCAUGGUGGCGGGCACCAGUAAUCCCAGCUACUGGGGAGGCUGAGGCAGGACAAUUGCUUGAACCUGGGAGGCAGAGGUUGGGAGGUUGCAGUGACCCUAGAUAGCACCAUUGCACUCCAGCCUGGAUGACAGAGCGAGAUUCCAUCUCAAAAAAAAAGAAAGAAAGAAAGAAAGAAUUACAGUUGAUUAGCCACAAAUAAUUUCUAAAAUGUUUUUGCUCACAUCUCUCAUAAAAAUAAAAGAAUAUCCAUGUCCUGUCUUAUUUCUUAUAGCUGCCAGUACACCCCCCAGUUUCCUCUUAUAACUGUUUCAUCCAGAAUCCUUCACAUGGUUACCCUUCACUUUCUCUAUUCCAGUCCAGGUUGCUUAUUUUCUUUUCUCUGGCCUUCUCCCUGUUGCUUUGCUCUUCAUCGUGUAGAUUGAUUUAGUUGUUUUGGCUCAGUCCUUCCUUCUGUCUUCUGUUUCU